rnacentral:rRNA from 1 species
AUUGAACGCUGGCGGCAUGCUUUACACAUGCAAGUCGAACGGCAGCACGGGUGCUUGCACCUGGUGGCGAGUGGCGAACGGGUGAGUAAUGCAUCGGAACGUGCCCAUGAGUGGGGGAUANCCCGGCGAAAGCCGGAUUAAUACCGCAUACGCCCUUAGGGGGAAAGCGGGGGGAUCUUCGGACCUCGCGCUAUUGGAGCGGCCGAUGUCGGAUUAGCUAGUAGGUGAGGUAAAGGCUCACCUAGGCGACGAUCCGUAGCUGGUCUGAGAGGAUGAUCAGCCACACUGGGACUGAGACACGGCCCAGACUCCUACGGGAGGCAGCAGUGGGGAAUUUUGGACAAUGGGCGCAAGCCUGAUCCAGCCAUGCCGCGUGAGUG